UUAUUUAUAUUUUGGGUUCAUUUCUGGCUUUGGUUUAUUUGGUUCUAUAAAUCAAAAUCGGAAACCUCUUGCUCUAGUGGCUAAACAAGAACUUUUUUUUUUUUUUUUAAUUAAAAACAAGAACUUAUUGACACCACAACACGUUUUGGGUGAAAUAAUCGUCAUUUGUUUGGUUGGUUACGUAAUUAUCUAUAGUUCUAUCUUGUGAAAUUUCCAAUAUAUAUAUAUAUAUAUAUAUAUACCAUAUGUCG
rnacentral:lncRNA from 1 species